rnacentral:tRNA from 1 species
GGCCCCGUGGUGUAAUGGAUAGCAUAUGAGGUUCCGAACCUCAUGACCCGGGUUCGACUCCCGGCGGGGCCG